AAAAUUCCAUAUGUGGCUUGUAUUAUCAUAUGGUGCUGUGUUAGAACCUGUUGCUUCUCUCAGCAGGAAAAGUUGAAGAAACUGAUGAAUGUCAAUGUGCAGAUGAGAUGACAUGACAGCUGCCUUCAGCCAUUUGGGUUUGGACAUUUUAUUUUAUGGCAGAGGAAUCUUGAGUAGAUACAUGGAUGUGUAUCUGCAAAGUACACAGGUAUCUGACUGUAGAGACCCUUGAAUGGAGGGAGCUAUUCUGACUGACUUGGACAGUGGUCAGGACUUGGACAGUGCGGUGCCACGGGACGGGUGGCUGCCAGACAGAGAACCAGACUGGCUGCACUUUCUUUCCACCUCUCUCCUACACCCAAAUGUGGAGACUUUGAGCAGAGGUUAAUGUAUCCUUUUCUCCUUUAAAAAAAUGUGUUCCCUGCUCAUUUCCAACACAGACUUAAGUUACGUGCAAAGAAAUCCCUGAAAUCAGAUACUUAAGCUAUGUGAAAGGAAUUCGGAGGAUUAUAAGCUAUCCACAUUUUUCUGUGGCAUGAAGAUUUUUUUUUUCAAAAAAAAAUUUUGGAGGGGAAUUUUUAAAUUUAUUAAUUCUCCCUAAUGCGUUGUUUA